AUUCUGUUAAAAGAAAUUUUCAUUUUCUUUAAAUCUUAAAAUACAGAAUU
rnacentral:tRNA from 1 species